AACCUGACCUAGAACCUCACUAAAGCCCGCCGUGUCCUAAACCUCGUGAGCUUAACACUGCCAUGGGCGCCGCCUCCCUCGCCGCCGGCGACCACGCGCUCCGGCGGCAGUGGCGGUACACGUGGGAAACCCUGGCCCAUCUCCCGCUCCUUCGCCUCUACCUCUUCCGCCCCUCCGCCACCGCGCUGCGGCCCGCCCCGUCCGACCUCCGCGCCGACCUCCGCCUCGACGCCUCGCUCCUCCUCCUCUCCUUCACCCUCGCCGGGGAUGCCGUCUCGCUCAGGGUCCCCGUGCCGAGGGUGCUCGUGGACCCCUCCGCCCCGCCCGAGUGCCGCGUCGCGGGGGACCACCUCGAGGUCCGCCUCACCCUCGUCCUCCCGGUCGACCACCCCGUCGUCGCCGCCGCCUUCCCUGGCGCCCACCCGCCCGCGCCCCUCGGCCCCCUCCGCGACGAUUUGAAGAGUUUAUCUUCUGGAGAUGUUCAUCUGUAUUGCAAGACAUGCUCAACAAGACUGACAAGACAGCCACUAAGGGACAUUGUGGAAAUGCCAUCUUUAGAUUGGGAGGAUGUUGCUGACAAUUGGUUUGGUGGAUGCUGCACCUCAUUUGGAGGGGCAAGUGAAAAGCUAGUAUCACGGUAUAUCAAUGCAUAUGGUCGCUUGGAGGGAACAACCCUACUAGAUGCUACGUCCAUUAUUAUAGAGAAGGAUUAUCUUGAAAUGGAUUUAGUGUCCACAGUAGCUAAUUCAGUGCCUGAUAUUGAUUUUGUUGCACUUCAAGAAGCUAUGUCUACUGUAAGUCUACAAAAUGAUUGUACCACCGAGAAGAUAAAAUUGAACAAGCCAGAAGACGAGGCAUGCCACAGAAAUAAAAUUGGUUCUAGUCACGUGCAAGCUCCCAGGGUUUUGGAAGAGACUGAAACUAAUGGGCGCACUCCUUGGACUGAUCAAUCUGGUACUAUCCAGCUGAAAAAUGGUGGUGAUGUGAACUCUGAGAAGUCCAAAGGUGACUGUUUUGUUGAAAACGUGAAGCAACCUUCUCUAGAGACUGAUUCGUCACUGGUAGAUCCAUGUAGUUGCUGCUGUGAAAGUGGAGAUAGUGGAAAAACUGAAUAUAACACUUCAAAAAUGCCUACCAACAACUGGAAAGUGCAGACUGCAUUGGAGAACCAAAGAGAUUACAAAUUAACAAAAAGUAUUUCUCUUGGUAGUAGCUUUAUUGUUAAAGAAUCAAACCUUUUGAAAGAUGUUGACUGGCUUGAACUUCUAUGUUCUCAUUGCUCAUCAUCUCUUGGGUCAUACCCUUCGCAGUGUUCACUUGCUCCAUCAGAUGGACGGGUACGGCUAUUCAAGUGCUACACAUCCUCAGACAUUUCUGUUGGGGGGCCUCAUGAUGUGUUCAGGGGACAUACACUUGGAAAACUUUUUGUCAAUUUGUUGCUUGAAAUUGCCGAAGAUGAAAUAUCUUUUCGUACAGUUGUGAGAGAUUUGAAAACCAAAACUCCCUUGCUGCAAAUUGUCCUCCUUAGCUCAAAAGCAUGGUUGUUUUCUGGUUACUGCUAUGAAAAUGACAUGGAUGGUUCACAUGGGAUAGCACAUCUACAGCCUGCUGUUAAGGUCUUGUAUUCUAACUGCAGUAAUUCCUCAGAAGCAGACUUAAGGGCAGUAGAGGAGUGGUCAUACAAAUAUCGGGCUGAACAGUUAUACAUGAUGGGGCGCCAGAUAAAUGAACUCACCGAAUGCCUCAGCUCAGCUAUGAGCGAGUUCCCACUUUCUUGCUCUUCUCUUGAAGGAAUGUGUCUUUCAUCUUUGGAACGUUGAUUAUAAGAUACUACUCCGUAUUAGUUUAUUUCAUGCUGCCCGAAGUCACAACUUGAUUAUUGUUUCAUGCAUAUCUGGUUGGAGACUCCAAUCAUAUGUACCGACCGGUGUUCCCAUCCAUUCUCAGUUUAGCAGUUGUUCAGCUAGCUGGUCAUCUUAUCUAUACAGUGCAAGGCUUCUGGACUUCCCCACUGUUUUCAAAAGACCAAGUAACAUUGGAAGUUCUUGUUCAGCUGGCUUCUGGUGGUAGGGGAUUCAGCUUUCUGGUCAUCUAAGCAGUAUUUAGCCUUUUUUUGUAGCUCUGAAGAAUCAAUGAUCAACAGUCAUGAUGAUCAACUCACUAACCUGCUUGUAUUUAUGUAUUCUGGUCCUGCCUUUUUUCACUGUGCAGGUCAAACCAGGAGAGGCGGGAAGAACUUGCCUUUGAGCAAUGUGGUGGCCCAGGCAUAGAGGGAUCCAAGGCAGAAAAAGAUGGCACUGACCGAACCAAAGUCCUAGUGGAGCCGUUAUACUAGUGUCUGAAUUUUGUAUUGAUGAGUUAUCCACCUGUUUGCUCUGAUCAUCAAACUGUGGCUGCAUGCAUGCAGCCGUAUCUGAAGCUUCAGUAUUCAAAGGAUUAGAACAUUCCCCACAUGAUUUCUGGUGAAGCUAUAGCCUACAUGAAACAUGGUGUUGAUCUGAUCUGAUCUGAUCUUCAGGGCUAUUGAAGAAAGUAAAAGAAAAGAGUUGGUAGCAUGCAUGUGCAUCCAUAUUUCUGUUGUGUUGACUUAUACAUUUUAGCUGGCCUUUUUUUGCGAAACUCA